rnacentral:rRNA from 1 species
CCAAUAGCGUAUAUUAAAGUUGUUGCAGUUAAAAAGCUCGUAGUUGAAUUUCGGGGUUAGUAGGUUGGUCAUGCCUCUGGUAUGUACUGGUCUCACUGAUUCCUCCUUCCUGAUGAACCGUAAUGCCAUUAAUUUGGUGUUGCGGGGAAUUUGGACUGUUACUUUGAAUAAAUUAGAGUGUUUAAAGCAAGCAAACGCUUGAAUACAUUAGCAUGGAAUAAUGAAAUAGGACGUGCGAUCCUAUUUUGUUGGUUUCUAGGAUUGACGUAAUGAUUAAUAGGGAUAGUUGGGGGCAUUAGUAUUCAAUUGUCAGAGGUGAAAUUCUUGGAUUUAUUGAAGACUAACUACUGCGAAAGCAUUUGCCAAGGAUGUUUUCAUUAAUCAAGAACGAAAGUUAGGGGAUCGAAGACGAUCAGAUACCGUCGUAGUCUUAACCAUAAACUAUGCCGACUAGGAAUCGGAUGAUGUUAAUUUUUUAAUGACUCAUUCGGCACCUUACG